rnacentral:pre_miRNA from 1 species
AUCAUACUCCCUCCGUCCGGAAAUACUUGUCCUCGAAAUGGUUGUAUCUAGACUUAUUUUAGUUAUAGAUACAUCCAUUUUAUCCAUUUCUAGGACAAAUAUUUCCAGACGGAGGGAGUACCAA